AGAUAUCCUGCAGUUUGGCUGCCUGGCUUCAAGCCCCGCUGAGGAAUUCUUGAUGCCUCAUUGUCAUGUCUUACUAAAAUGUACACGAAACUUGCAGAGCAUAAACUUUCAGGCUUAAAAUCUUCCCAGUCCUGGAACACAAGCCUCCCACAGUCACGAGUUCCCAGUCCCCUGUUCUCCCGACCAUUGUCAGGAAUCUCUGCUCUGCUGGUUGCUGGGUGCAGAUAUCAGGUGGUGCAGCUGUUAGCUGCAGUUUAACAUGGGGCAUGCAGAGAUGAGACUCCAUCUUCCCUUGACAGCUUUCCUGAACUUCAUGGGACUUCCUUGCUGUAAAUCCUAGGUUCUGGUACCCGUGUUGC